rnacentral:rRNA from 1 species
AUUGAACGCUGGCGGCAGGCUUAACACAUGCAAGUCGAACGGUAACAGGGAUCAGCUUGCUGAUUCGCUGACGAGUGGCGGACGGGUGAGUAAUGUCUGGGAAACUGCCUGAUGGAGGGGGAUAACUACUGGAAACGGUAGCUAAUACCGCAUAACGUCGCAAGACCAAAGAGGGGGACCUUCGGGCCUCUUGCCAUCGGAUGUGCCCAGAUGGGAUUAGCUAGUAGGUGGGGUAACGGCUCACCUAGGCGACGAUCCCUAGCUGGUCUGAGAGGAUGACCAGCCACACUGGAACUGAGACACGGUCCAGACUCCUACGGGAGGCAGCAGUGGGGAAUAUUGCACAAUGGGCGCAAGCCUGAUGCAGCCAUGCCGCGUGUAUGAAGAAGGCCUUCGGGUUGUAAAGUACUUUCAGCGGGGAGGAAGGGAGUAAAGUUAAUACCUUUGCUCAUUGACGUUACCCGCAGAAGAAGCACCGGCUAACUCCGUG